rnacentral:rRNA from 1 species
GUGACCUCAAAUCAGGUAGGACUACCCGCUGAACUUAAGCAUAUCAAUAAGCGGAGGAAAAGAAACUAACAAGGAUUCCCCUAGUAACUGCGAGUGAAGCGGGAAAAGCUCAAAUUUAAAAUCUGGCAGUCUUUGGCUGUCCGAGUUGUAAUCUAGAGAGUGAUAUCCGCGCUGGACCGUGUACAAGUCUCCUGGAAUGGAGCGUCAUCACGGACUACCAGGCUUUGUGAUGCGCUCUCAAAGAGUCGAGUUGU